CGCACGGUGGAUGCCUUGGCACUAGGAGCCGAUGAAGGACGGGACGAACACCGAUAUGCUUCGGGGAGCUGUAAGCAAGCUUUGAUCCGGAGAUUUCCGAAUGGGGAAACCCACCACUCGUAAUGGAGUGGUAUCCAUAUCUGAAUUCAUAGGAUAUGAGAAGGCAGACCCGGGGAACUGAAACAUCUAAGUACCCGGAGGAAGAGAAAGCAAAUGCGAUUCCCUGAGUAGCGGCGAGCGAAACGGGAUUAGCCCAAACCAAGAGGCUUGCCUCUUGGGGUUGUAGGACACUCUGUACGGAGUUACAAAGGAACGAGGUAGAUGAAGAGGUCUGGAAAGGCCCGCCAUAGGAGGUAACAGCCCUGUAGUCAAAACUUCGUUCUCUCCUGAGUGGAUCCUGAGUACGGCGGAACACGUGAAAUUCCGUCGGAAUCCGGGAGGACCAUCUCCCAAGGCUAAAUACUCCCUAGUGACCGAUAGUGAACCAGUACCGUGAGGGAAAGGUGAAAAGCACCCCGGAAGGGGAGUGAAAGAGAUCCUGAAACCGUGUGCCUACAAGUAGUCAGAGCCCGUUAACGGGUGAUGGCGUGCCUUUUGUAGAAUGAACCGGCGAGUUACGAUCUCGUGCAAGGUUAAGCAGAAGAUGCGGAGCCGCAGCGAAAGCGAGUCUGAAUAGGGCGCAUGAGUACGUGGUCGUAGACCCGAAACCAGGUGAUCUACCCAUGUCCAGGGUGAAGUUCAGGUAACACUGAAUGGAGGCCCGAACCCACGCACGUUGAAAAGUGCGGGGAUGAGGUGUGGGUAGGGGUGAAAUGCCAAUCGAACCUGGAGAUAGCUGGUUCUCUCCGAAAUAGCUUUAGGGCUAGCCUCAAGGUAAGAGUCUUGGAGGUAGAGCACUGAUUGGACUAGGGGCCCCUACCGGGUUACCGAAUUCAGUCAAACUCCGAAUGCCAAUGACUUAUCCUUGGGAGUCAGACUGCGAGUGAUAAGAUCCGUAGUCGAAAGGGAAACAGCCCAGACCGCCAGCUAAGGUCCCAAAGUAUACGUUAAGUGGAAAAGGAUGUGGAGUUGCUUAGACAACCAGGAUGUUGGCUUAGAAGCAGCCACCAUUUAAAGAGUGCGUAAUAGCUCACUGGUCGAGUGACUCUGCGCCGAAAAUGUACCGGGGCUAAACGUAUCACCGAAGCUGCGGACUGUUCUUCGAACAGUGGUAGGAGAGCGUUCUAAGGGCUGUGAAGCCAGACCGGAAGGACUGGUGGAGCGCUUAGAAGUGAGAAUGCCGGUAUGAGUAGCGAAAGAGGGGUGAGAAUCCCCUCCACCGAAUGCCUAAGGUUUCCUGAGGAAGGCUCGUCCGCUCAGGGUUAGUCGGGACCUAAGCCGAGGCCGAAAGGCGUAGGCGAUGGACAACAGGUUGAUAUUCCUGUACCACCUCCUCACCAUUUGAGCAAUGGGGGGACGCAGGAGGAUAGGGUAAGCGCGGUAUUGGAUAUCCGCGUCCAAGCAGUUAG
rnacentral:rRNA from 1 species